UACGGGAGUGGCAAGCGUUAUCCGGAAUUAUUGGGCCUAAAGCAUCCGUAGCCUGCUCUGUUAGUUUUCGGUUAAAUCCAUGUGCUCAACACAUGGGCUGCCGAAAAUACUGCAGAGCUAGGGAGUGGGAGAGGUAGACGGUACUCAGUAGGAAGGGGUAAAAUCCUUUGAUCUAUUGAUGACCACCUGUGGCGAAGGCGGUCUACCAGAACACGUUCGACGGUGAGGGAUGAAAGCUGGGGGAGCAAACCGG
rnacentral:rRNA from 1 species